AUGAUCGGGGCGGCGCGGGUUCCGCUGCUGGACGCGCUGGUGCUCGGGGACGAUGACGACGACAGCGCCGACGAGCCGGCGGAGGAGAAGAGGAUGGAGAAGAAGAGGCGACCCAACCACCAGUCGAAGCUGGCGGAGGGGACGCGGACGUUCUACAAGAGGGUCGAGCUGCAGGGUUGGCGGCCGGGGGAAGCCGGGGGAGACCCGACCAAUGUUGUUUGCGGCACGGUGGUCGUAAAAUUGCGCUUAACUGAACACGACGACCUCCCCGGUCGAUGA
rnacentral:rRNA from 1 species